ensembl:lncRNA
AGGUUGCUUCUAUGAUGACAGUGGUCACGUGGAGGCAGGUGCACACAUGACAAGUGUUCCUAUAGAAGCAUGCAGCUCCAUAGCAGCUCAGAACAGAAAUGCGAACUUCUCCAAGAUCAAUUUCUAAAAUGCUGAACAGAUGAGUUAUAUCCCUUCAUUCUCGUUGCAUGCUGCUGUAAUUUAAGGGCUUACUAGAAUAGACCUUGGAACAGAUAGGGGAAGGUCUGUCAGUCUCCACAGCAGGAUUGCUGCAUGUCCAACCACAGGGAAAACUCACUGACCCUUCAGCGGAAGAGUUUUCAAUGCUCC